UACGGGGGGUGCGAGCGUUGUCCGGAAUCACUGGGCGUAAAGGGCGCGUAGGUGGUUUGAUAAGGGUGUGGUGAAAGCCCGGGGCUCAACCCCGGGUCUGCCGUGCCGACUGUCAAACUCGAGGGCUGUAGAGGCAGACGGAAUUCCGGGAGUAGCGGUGGAAUGCGUAGAGAUCCGGAGGAAGACCGGUGGCGAAGGCGGUCUGCUGGGCAGUUUCUGACACUGAGGCGCGACAGCGUGGGGAGCAAACAGG
rnacentral:rRNA from 1 species